rnacentral:lncRNA from 1 species
CCCAAUUUCCUGCAGAAAUCUCCACCCAGAUGCAGAGCUGGGCCCUUAGGCUCUUUGCCCUGAGGGGUCCGGAGACUGGCAAGAUAGACACGCUUUGUCUUCAGAAAGGGAAUCUCACCUCCGGGAACAGGUACAUGGACAGGUACAGGGUGUGAGUGUGGAAGAAUGAGCUUACAGCACAUGUACAGCAAACAAGAUGGAGACCCCAGGGCAGGAUGGCCCGGCUCACAUGCAGUUCACAUCCCAGCAGUUGCAGAGAACAGAAAGGGGCUGUUGUUGCAACAGAAGCUUUGUGAUCAACUUGGGCUUCCUGGGCACAUGACACAUGAAGACCCUGCUGGCUGGCAGGUUAUCUGGCAAUUUAUCAUUGAUCUCAAUCUCAAGACACAAAUGAUUAGAUUCCAGACUUCUAG